UACGUAGGGUGCGAGCGUUGUCCGGAAUUAUUGGGCGUAAAGAGCUCGUAGGCGGUGUGUCACGUCGGCCGUGAAAACCUGCAGCUUAACUAGUGGCGUGUCGGUCGAUACGGGCAGGCUAGAGUUCGGUAGGGGAGACUGGAAUUCCUGGUGUAGCGGUGAAAUGCGCAGAUAUCAGGAAGAACACCUAUGGCGAAGGCAGCUCUCUGGGACGGUACUGACGCUGAGACGCGAAAGCGUGGGGAGCGAACAGG
rnacentral:rRNA from 1 species